GAGCAGCGAGCAGCAUGGCAGUCUCUGGCAAAGCGUUGACCACAAGAACCAGCAAGGCCAAAACAAAGCGCUGAAUGGCGGGCGCUGACUUCAGCGUGUCUGCCCCCUCUGAUCCACACAAGGUUGCACUGUGUGUGUUCGGCCUCCGAGAACGAAAGGGGCGGCCACGGCGCACAAUCACCACUAAGCACAUACUUUGCUGCCCCACAAUCCCCCACCAGGCCAGACACAAACCCAGGGGCUGUAUGUUUAUCAAAGCGCCUCAGGAGGCAGCAUGUAUGAAGUGACGGGCGCUCCGAUUGAAAUGUCGGAAACGUCAAAGAUAUUAACAAAAGGAUGCUGCCAUGGAGACAGUGCUCUUAUAUCUGUGGGGCUUCCACCUACUGUAUACCGCCAGAACAACCACACACGCGUUCACACAAACUGCAAAGAAUUCCUCCAUGCUUCACCCAAUCGCUGCAAACCCAAGCAGCGUUUGACCACAAUGAACCAUUUUGUAAGUUAUAAAGCAAUGUAAUUAUGUCCUAGAAACCCUUUUCCCACAGGAUGAGGGACAUAGCUCCUCAAAGCAGUCACAGCUCCCCGUUAAAUAUCAACUGUGGUCUCAAGGUUUUGAUGCCGGGCUCUUAUAUUAGGAAAAACACAUUCUUAUCCAAGUCAUUUGUUUUACUUUGCAAUUGCGUAAUUUGAUUAUGUGCAACUGGUAAGAGUCAAACACACUCUCCAUUUGGGUGAUUUGCCAAACAUCUCCGCUACCGCAGCUACAGGC
ensembl:lncRNA